CCUACGGGUGGCAGCAGUGAGGAAUAUUGGUCAAUGGACGCAAGUCUGAACCAGCCAUGCCGCGUGCAGGAAGACGGCUCUAUGAGUUGUAAACUUCUUUUGUACGGGGGUAAACGCAGAUACGUGUAUCUGUCUGAAAGUAUCGUACGAAUAAGGAUCGGCUAACUCCGGGCCAGCAGCCGCGGUUAUCAGGAGGGUUCAAGCGUUUACCGGAUUUAUUGGGGUUAAAGGGUGCGGUGGGGGUCGUGUCAGGUCGGCGUGAAAUCCCGGGGCUCCACUCCGGAACUGCCGUUGAUACUGGCCGGCUGGAGAGGAGUUGCGGUAGGCGGAAUGUAUGGUGGAGCGGUGAAAUGCAUAGAGAUCAUGCAGAACACCGAUUGCGAAGGCAGCAUACCGGGGUACUUCUGACGUUGAAGCACGAAAGCGUGGGGAGCGAACAGGAGUAGAUACCCGGGUAGUC
rnacentral:rRNA from 1 species